CCUACGGGUGGCUGCAGUGAGGAAUAUUGGUCAAUGGGCGCGAGCCUGAACCAGCCAAGUCGCGUGAGGGAUGACGGAUCUAUGGUUUGUAAACCUCUUUUGUCUGGGAGUAAAGUGCGGAACGUGUGGCGUUUUGUGUGUACCAUAAGAAUAAGCAUCGGCUAACUCCGUGCCAGCAGCCGCGGUACUACGGAGGAUGCGAGCGUUAUCCGGAUUUAUUGGGUUUAAAGGGUGCGUAGGUGGUAAAUCAAGUCAGCGGUAAAAUUGUGGGGCUAAACCUUAACUUGCCGUUGAAACUGGUUGACUUGAGUAUACGUGAGGUAUGCGGAAUGCGUGGUGUAGCGGUGAAAUGCAUAGAUAUCACGCAGAACUCCGAUUGCGAAGGCAGCUUACCAA
rnacentral:rRNA from 1 species